rnacentral:lncRNA from 1 species
CUAUAAGCCCAUCUUCAUGUAAGAAUAUUAUGGGUUUUAUAUAAACUGAAGUACAGGCUGAUUAAAAAUUACAUAAAUUAAUGCAUACAUAGGUGAAAUAGUUUAAAGGGACACUGUAGUCACUAUACGCAUUUCAUCUCUUUGAAUUGGUUAUAGUGCCUGGAGUGCCUGGCAUUGUCCCUCCAUUCAGUGUUGCACCAUGUUCGUGCAGUAUGCCAGAAAAUAAGAGUCCCUGGCCACCCACAGUCCGGCCCCUUCAGUAUGUGUAGCUAAGGCAGAGAUUACACACUUCCUUGUUGUCAUACCCAUUCAUACCGUCAGUUGUAACUCUGACAGGCUAAAAGCAGUCAGCUGACACUCUCAGCCAAUCACAGCUGCUUAGGCUAAUACUUCCUUAUUAGCCAAAGCAGCACAGAGGGGAUGGAUUGCCGGGGAGUCUUGUUUAGCAUUAAAACAUUAAAACUUUAAAAACUGUUUAAUGAUGAUAGAAAUGAUGGGACCAGAGUACUCCAGACACUAUAACCAGUUUAAUGAGAUGAAGCAGAUACAGUGCCUACGGUGUCCCUUUAACCAUUUUGCUCUUUUCAAAUUACCAGCUUUAUUUACAAGGAAAUUAUUAUUAUUAUUAUUAUUAUUAUUAUAAUGCCAUUUAUAGAGCGCCGUCAAAUUCCGCAGCGCUUUACAAUGGGUGGACGAACAGACAUGUAGUUGUAACCAGACAAGUUGGACACACAGGAACAGAGGGGUUAAGGGCCCUGCUCAAUGAGCUUACAUGCUAGAGGGAGUGGGGUAAAAUGACACAAAAGGUAAGGAUAGUAUUAGAUUAGUGACAGUUGCAGUGGGUUUUUAACGAUUUUUUGAAGCAGUGGAGACUGGGUGAGCAUCUAACGGAGGAGGGAAGCGAGUUCCACAGGAGAAAUCUUGAAGGCGAGCAUCAGAGGAAAUGUGUGUUCUCUCUAAAAUAGCUUUGCUGCUUAACCUGAAUUUUAGAAUUCUUUAUUUAAUCCAGAGUUUAGUGAAUAACCCUUCAUAAUAAUAUCAUUUACUAUUUUAACAUUGAUUCAAACUUGAAAUUCAGACAUGGAAUUAAUAGUUUUGCUUUAUUUGCUUUUCACAGUUUCUCUAGAUUGUUCUUGGUCAGCAAAACUGUUAACGUCACCAAUUACUAUGUAAGUACAGUUAACCACACAUCCACAUCAUUUGCAUUUAUUUUAGUGUUUUUGUUGUUUGCUAUUUAAUGUUAACUCCUUCAGUACGGAAUCAAUAGUGCACGUUCUGAUCAAAACAAAACGUAAACAAAAACUGGAAUUUGCGCUAUAUGUCUGUUCAACCGUAAUUCACCGUUGUCACAUUAAGUGCACCCACACUUAUUAUAUAUCAUUUUGUUCAGGAGAAACAGGGCUUUAAUUUACAAUUAACUAUUCAUAUAUGGAACAUAAUUUAUUAUGAAUAAAAUUUAAAAAAAUGUGAGAAAAUAAGAUUUUUAUUUAAAUUUGUAUUUCCGUCAGACAUUUUAGCUGUAAAUGUCAUAAUACUGUUAGGUAUUACUGCAAAAAAAUGCACAUAUUUGUAAUCAGUGAUGUCUCAUGAGUACAACAGUACCCCCCAGUAACAGGUUUUAUGGUGUUUUGGAAAGUUACAGGGUCAAAUAUAGAACGUUCCAUUUUCACAUUGAAAUUUGCCAGAUUAGUAAUGUUACUAAUACCUUUGAGACGGUGUGGUAGCCCAAGAAUGAGAAUUACCCCCAUAAUGGCAUACCAUUUGAAAAAGUAGACAACCCAAGGUAUUGAGCGUGGGGUAUGUUUAAUCUUUUUUAGUAGCCACUUAGUCACAAACACUGGCCAAAGUUAGCGUUCAUAUUUGUUUUUGUGUGAAAAAAGCAAAAAACUAAUAUUUGGCCAGUAUUUGUGACUAAGUGGCUACUCGGAAAGACUGGACAUACCCCACUUGUAAUACCUUGGGUUGUCUACUUUUGCAAAUGGUAUGCCAUCAUGGGUGUAAUUCUCAUUCCUGGGCUACCAUACGCUCUCAAAGGCAACAUAACCAAUCUGGCAAAUUUCAAUGUCAAAAAAAUGAAAUGCAAGCCUUAUGGGGAGUACUAUUAUUCUCAGGAGACUUCACUAAACACAAAUAUUAGUAUUUUAAAACAGUAAAACAUAUUACAACAACAAUAUAGUCUAUAAAAGUGCUGUUUGUUUGUAAAAAAUUGUCACUUUUACUUAAAAUAUCAUCGUUGUAAUACAAUUUACCAGUUUGAAACACUAAUAUUUAAAUUCAGCGAAGUCUCCCGAGUAAAACAGUACCCCCUAUGUACAGGUUUUAUGGUGUCUUGGAGAGUUACAGGGUCAAAUAAAGUGCUUGCGAAUUAAAUUCUCUGCACUUUCUCCCUGUGUUGUCAGGCAUGUCAAUCAAAUUUUAAUUAAUCAAAUCACAUAAUUAUGUUAAAAGAUUACUUAAAUAUACACAUAGAAUUUUAAUAUAUAUGCAUUUAUAAGUAUUUAAAUUCUAUGUAUAUACUAGUGCAAUCUUUUAUGUAAUUAUAUGUAUUUAUAUAUAUAUAUAUAUAUAUUUGCGGUUAUUUGUAUUUUAUAUAUAGAUAGAUAUAUAUAGAAUGUCAUUCUAAGUGUAUUUUGUUACCAAUAUAUAUAUAUAUAGAUAUUAAUAACAAAAUACAGUUAGAAUGAAAUUACAUAUGAAUAUAUUAUUUAUAUAAAAUUUUGUUUCAAUAUUUUAUCUAUUUAUUUAUUUUAUUAUUUUAUUUAUUUAUUAUUGUAAUUAUACGUAUAUAUAUAUAUAAUAUAUGUGUAUAUAUCUAUUAUAUUUAUAAUAUAUAUACAUAUUAUAUAUAUAACGUCAUUCUAAGGGUAUUUUAAUACUAAUAUAUGUACUUAUAUUAAUAUUAAAAUACACUUUGUUUGACAUUACAUAUAUAUAAUAUGUAUAUAUAUUAUAUAUAUAAUAUAUAUAUACAUAUAUUAUAUAUAUUAAUACAUUUCUAUUUUAAUUUUACACGUUUAAUUCUUUUUUUUUUUUACUUUCCCACCAGCAGAGGGACUGUCUGACAUUUCAGACAGUCCCCCUGCUGGCAGAUCCACAGCCAGCUAUAGGGGGCCAUGUGAUCGCUCUUUGAGAGCGAUCACAUGGCCCCCGGGGGCCUCAUUUGCUGGGGGAGGGCUGCCUGGGCUGUCAGGCAGCCCUCCAGAAGAGGAUCGCGGUGGGGGUAAGUCCACCGGACCUCCUGGGGCUGCAAGCCGUUACGGCGUUCUAUGCUGCCGCAACGGCUUUAAAGCCCUUUUAAUGCGGGACGGCAUAGAACGCCGUAACUGCAUUAAGGGGCUAACACGUGUAUAUAGCACAAUGUUCAGCAAAUUAUUGUUGUUGCUGUAUGGUGAAAAUUUUGGAAAAUAUAUUUGCAUGUCACUUAUAUAUAGUAUACAUACAUAUACACAUAUACACAUACAUACAUAUAUGGAACUCGACGGCUCUGGAAUACAAUUCCUUGUCUAGGUGCGAAGCUCCAGCCAAAAAAUGCAAAGCAAAAAAUAAAGAGAGCACUCAAAGGACUUCUUCAUAAAUAUGUCGCUGCUGUUAUUGAAGCAGGCUCUCUGCAAAUGUAAAUAGAGAUGAUGUUUCAGUCCUACACUGGACUUUUAUCAAGAUCUUGAUAAUCAAGAUACAUGUGAUAAUUUCUCUUUUAGUACAAUUCUAGGGAUCUCAAUUAUACAAAUAGAAUCAACUGGUCAUUUUUCUUUUUUUUUUUUUUCAUUUAGAGUUAACUGUCCUAAGGGAUGCCAAAAAGCAAAAGGAGAAGUAUAUGGAUUUUCUCCCUAUCAAGGAGUAAGAUUACAUUUCAACUCACAUGGUUUUUUUUGCUGUUUUUUUAUUUGCUUAUUUUAGAGUAAAACAUUAUGAAAAUACAUACCAAUUAUCCCAUUCAAUUAAUAAUAAUGUUUCUUUUUAGGAUUCAGCGAUUUGUCGAGCUGGUAUUCAUGCUGGAAUAACCAACGAUGAAGAAGGAGGACCAUUAGUUGUAAUAAAGAAGCCAGGAGAAAAUAGUUAUC